rnacentral:tRNA from 1 species
GCAUUGGUGACUCAGUGGUAGAACUCUCACCUUCCACGCGGGAGACAUGGGUUCAAUUCCCAGCCGGUACA